GGGGCUGUGGCUCAGUGGAAGAGGUUCUGCUUUGCAUGCAGAAGGUUCCAAGUUCUAUUCCUGGUAUCCCCA
rnacentral:tRNA from 1 species